rnacentral:rRNA from 1 species
UACGAGGGGUGCAAGCGUUGCUCGGAAUUAUUGGGCGUAAAGGGUAGGUAGGUGGUCUCAUUUGUCAGGGGUGAAAGCCUUGGGCUUAACCUAAGAAGUGCCCCUGAAACGGUGAGACUAGAGUUCUGGAGAGGGUCGUGGAAUUCCCAGUGUAGCGGUGAAAUGCGUAGAGAUUGGGAGGAACACCAGAGGCGAAGGCGGCGACCUGGACAGAUACUGACACUAAACUACGAAAGCGUGGGGAGCAAACAGG